rnacentral:rRNA from 1 species
CCUACGGGUGGCAGCAGUGGGGAAUAUUGGACAAUGGGGGGAACCCUGAUCCAGCCAUGCCACGUGUGUGAAGAAGGCCCUCGGGUUGUAAAGCACUUUCAGUGAGGAAGAACGCCUGGUGGUUAAUACCCAUCAGGAAAGACAUCACUCACAGAAGAAGCACCGGCUAACUCCGUGCCAGCAGCCGCGGUAAUACGGAGGGUGCGAGCGUUAAUCGGAAUUACUGGGCGUAAAGCGCGCGUAGGUGGCUUGAUAAGCCGGUUGUGAAAGCCCCGGGCUCAACCUGGGAACGGCAUCCGGAACUGUCAAGCUAGAGUGCAGGAGAGGAAGGUAGAAUUCCCGGUGUAGCGGUGAAAUGCGUAGAGAUCGGGAGGAAUACCAGUGGCGAAGGCGGCCUUCUGGACUGACACUGACGCUGAGGUGCGAAAGCGUGGGUAGCAAACAGGAUUAGAUACCCUAGUAGUC